UACAGAGACUGCAAGCGUUAUUCGGAUUCACUGGGCGUAAAGGGUGCGCAGGCGGCCGUGUGUGUCAGGUGUGAAAGCCCGGAGCUUAACUCCGGAAUUGCGCCUGAAACUACAUGGCUAGAGCAUUGGAGAGGGUAGCGGAAUUCACGGUGUAGCAGUGAAAUGCGUAGAUAUCGUGAGGAACACCAGAGGCGAAGGCGGCUACCUGGACAAUUGCUGACGCUCAGGCACGAAAGCGUGGGGAGCAAAAGGG
rnacentral:rRNA from 2 species